UAUAAAAUAUUAAUUAUGAUUAAUAUUAAUCAAACCACAGUUCCAUCUGGGUUGAAUAUCAAAUUCUCAACCUUUCGUCUUCAUCGAUUUCAUGGCUGGAUAGAAUUUCAAAACAUUGAAUUAUACCUUAGUUCAUGUAUUGUCAGAAUUAAGUAAUUUAGUCCCUUAUGAGUUUAUUGUCAGAAUUUCAUGUAUUGUCAGAAUUAUCAUCAUUCUCCAUUGAUUCCUGCCAACACACAAGGCAUUCAAAUUUUGGUCCUAACAAAUGUUCCAGAAUUUGAAGUUCAAUGAAGUACUGUUGCAAUCUGAAAUGCUAGCUAAUCUAGCUAGCAGCAGGCAGCUGUCCGCCAAAUGUUCCAGAAUCACAUCCUGCAUUUUCAAGAGCAGCUGAGAAUCAGCCAUAAAGACAAUGAGACCAUGUACCUUGAAUGAGAGACUGUGACUACGUUUAGGAGCUCCAUCAAUUUCCUCAUAUUCAGCAGCAUCCAACUCAUGAAGGCAUUGAGAAAACUUAUAACUCUCCUGUAUCGCCGGCUAGGAAUAAUGAAAAGCAGCAUCAGCCUUUCCCAUAACCAGCUCACAGGAAGACUAUCAAUGGCCAUAUAAGCAAAAUAUCCCCAGAGUACUGAUAUCUUAACUUCCAAGAGGAGGGGUUGCUGUCCGGAGAUAUGCCAGUAUGGGUGAGCUUGAUCCUUCCUUUUCAGUACUAGAAGGAGAGGUCUUCAGAAACAAGUGAUGCCACUGACGCCAGCAUUCAGGCCCCUCUCCGGCUGAACGAGACUCAGAUUCUAAGGCCCCAUUUCUUUCUCUUUCCUUUUGACUGUUGAUGAGUUAGCCUUCCCGUAUAUUGGUGGAAAGAUUAGUGCUUGAUUUUGCUUCUUCCCGCCGGAGUGCUUGGUUUGGUUAAACCUGAUGGGAUUCCAAUGAUGAGAAAUAUUGGAGCUUUUAACCUUCAUCCGGGUGGCGUCAAUAGGAGGCUAUUCGGGUGUCUAGCCCACAACAUUUAGAUGUUCGGAAAGGAAGAAAAUGGAGAGUUGGAGAAAAAGUGCAGGAAAAGCUGAAAAAGUAAUUGGGUCAAAGUAAUUUGGCCAAAUCACCCGCAGAGAUCAGAAGCAGAAAGCUAAGGCAGAAAUCUGGAGGCAACAUACAGAAACGAUUUGGGCAAGCGAUUUGCCCAAAUCACCCGCCCAAAUCACACUGAUG